UGGGAUGACGUCAAAUCCUCAUGGCCUUUAUGUCCGGGGCUACACACGUGCUACAAUGGCAGAUACAAUAGGUUGCGAAACCGCGAGGUGGAGCCAAUCCUCAAAGUCUAGUCUCAGCUCAGAUUGUAGGCUGCAACUCGCCUGCAUGAAGUUGGAGUUGCUAGUAAACGCAGGUCAGCUAUACUGCGUUGAAUACGUUCCCGGGGUUU
rnacentral:rRNA from 1 species